rnacentral:rRNA from 1 species
GACGAGGGAUCCUAGCGUUGUUCGGAAUCAUUGGGCGUAAAGCGGGUGUAGGCGGACUUGUAAGUCAGGUGUGAAAUCCCAGGGCUCAACCCUGGAAGUGCACUUGAUACUGCAAGUCUUGAGUGUGGUAGAGGCUAUUAGAAUUCCUGGUGUAGUGGUGAAAUACGUAGAUAUCAGGAGGAAUACCGGAGGCGAAGGCGGAUAGCUGGGCCAACACUGACGCUGAGACCCGAAAGCGUGGGGAUCAAACAGG